CGUUGAGGCCAUGACGCUUCUGGAGACGCUUCCGGCGCUUGCAAGGGAGCCCACCCGUCACCUGGCUGAGUGAACAAAGAAGAAAGACAGCGCGUAAACCGGCUGUUGCAGGGUUCCACGAAAGGCCCUCAGCCCGCCCUUCACCUGGCAGGCUGAGCAAAGAACGGAGUGGCCAACGACAAACGAACCAGGCGUCGCCGGAUGGUUUCCUUCCACAGGUUCCAAACGAGUUUCGGCGAGGCGGAGUUACUGCGGGUUGUGGAGAGCAUAGGCGUGGUAUCGCAACGGACUCGACGAUGGUGAUUUGCUGCUGGACAGUCUUCAGAUUCCCGAGUCGACUCGCCUAGGGAAGACGAGAUUAAAAGCAGAUACUUUUCGGGAGUGAGGGCAGAGGGUCCUGAUGUGAACUGAGACGUUGAACUUGCUCCCACAUAGAGUUGGCGUUCCUACUAGAGCCGUGUAACAAAGCUAAAUAAACCCUUUUUUCUUCAUUUUCUACAA